AAUUAACUUUAUUAUUUUUUUCGCAACGUUCCAUCUCAUCAGUCUUCACAGCAUCCUGGAGUUUUCUCAAACUGCCGCCAUAAAAUCAGAGGUCAAGAUUUUAUUUGCUCUUAAAAACGUUGGGGAACCACCGCGGCCAGCAGGCAGGGCGAUCUCAGUUUGCAAAUUCCAGCUAAUUAACCUUCAGCGUCUGUACAAUGUUUAGUUGUUUUUUUUGUGUGUAUUCAUGAACUAGCUCUGACUUGAAGCUAGUUCCUCGUCAGAGCAUUUUGUGUCGCUACCGGUUACCGGGCUCCAGAGUGCAUCCCUCCGCAGACCUCCUGUCAAACAGCGACACGACAAAGGGGCGUGUCCUACUGUUUACCUGAGUGAUAUGCUAAAGAUGUGUGUGACCAAGCCUAUUGUCACAGACUGCCAUGGUCCUCCAACUGUUGGAAAAAGUACAGCUGAACAAAUGACAUUAUCAAAUAUUUAGGAGGUUAAAAGAAAGCAAAAUAACAGGCAAAAUAUGAUUAGUUCAAGCACAUUGGUGUUUACUCUAAAUAAAGCAGGGAAGUGCAGUGGAGGACAUUCCUGGAACUGAAGCUGGAACAACAGCGAGGCAAGAACAAGGGGCUGGUCGCUUCCUGAAUCUGAAACAUGGAUCUGGGAAUGAGAGCAAGCCCGUGGCAGAGGUCACUGCCACCCUAGACAGGUUACCAAUCCGUUACCACGGCAACAUUUAGACACACAGGACAAGCAACGGCUGUGGGAUUAAGCCGGAGUACCCAGAGCUGUGAGGGUCCAGCACACUGAAAUCCGUCUUGAAGGGAUUCUGGGAACAACGUGGUGGAAGUAAAAAUAAAAACAAAAGGGAUAAGCACUGAUUAAAAACACAAGGACAGCAGAGGAGCCAAAAGAAAAGCGCACCAGCUUUAGCAGCGUGCUGCAAACUGUGCCUGUCCAGGUCACGGCGGUUUUUCAAACAAAAACAAGAUUCCCGUCACUGAAAUCCUCGUGGUGGCACGAGACAAUGGAGCCGGAGCGGGGGGACAGAAACAGAGAUAAGACAAGACAGAAGCCAUUGUACAGAUCAGCGCUGUCUCAUGCUGUAAUAAAUCUGUAAUGUGUUUUCCCACCACAGUAACCUUACAAGGCCUGUGGCUUUAACUCUUUUAUCCUUCACAGCAACGCAGUUUUGUUCUGCCAAAUGUUAGCUUUUAUUCUUUCAGUCUAACAAAUUAAGUGACAUAUUGUUGAUUUCUUAUGGAAAUAACUUUCUUCUAAAACCAAGUCAUGUAUUUCUGUUUUCCUGUUUGUAUACUUACCGUCUUCCUCUAUAUAUUUUACUGAAACAUAAUGUUGAUUUUUUUUUAUUUAAUGGAAAUAAUUUGGGAGUAAAUUCCAAAGCUUCAGUUCUAUGGGAGGCUGCAUCUUAUUCCUUUGUACUUUUAACACACGCACUUACUUAGCUACACUUUGCUAGUACAGGUUGGACAUCGUUUUGCCUUCAGUAUGUUUAAUGGUAGCCUGGUAAGAACUCGGUCCUUGUUUCUUGGAGGAGUGGACUCUGAUAAGGUUUGAACUUUUACCCAAUCACUAACAUGGCCAGUUUGACACGAUGAAGCUUCCAUACUUUUAAUGGAAAUAAAGCUGCAGUUGCUGCA